rnacentral:rRNA from 1 species
CGGGGGCAGACACAGGCAUGCCCCAGUAACGGCGAGUGAAGCGGCAACAGCUCAAAUUUGAAAUCUGGCCCCUUGGGGUCCGAGUUGUAAUUUGUAGAGGAUGCUUUUGAUGAGGCGCCGCCUGAGUUCCCUGGAACGGGACGCCAUAGAGGGUGAGAGCCCCGUCUGGCUGGCCGCCGAGUCUCUGUAAAGCUCCUUCGACGAGUCGAGUAGUUUGGGAAUGCUGCUCAAAAUGGGAGGUAUAUGUCUUCUAAAGCUAAAUACCGGCCAGAGACCGAUAGCGCACAAGUAGAGUGAUCGAAAGAUGAAAAGCACUUUGAAAAGAGGGUUAAAUAGUACGUGAAAUUGUUGAAAGGGAAGCACUUGUGACCAGACUUGGGCUUGGCGAAUCAUCCGGCGUUCUCGCCGGUGCACUUUGCCUCGUCCAGGCCAGCAUCAGUUCGUCGCGGGGGACAAAGGCUUCGGGAACGUGGCUCCUCCGGGAGUGUUAUAGCCCGCUGCGUAAUACCCUGCGGUGGACUGAGGUUCGCGCAUCUGCAAGGAUGCUGGCGUAAUGGUCAUCAGUGACCCGUCUUGAAACACGGACCAAGGAGUCGUCUUCGUAUGCGAGUGUUCGGGUGUCAAACCCCUACGCGUAAUGAAAGUGAACGCAGGUGAGAGCUUCGGCGCAUCAUCGACCGAUCCUGAUGUUCUCGGAUGGAUUUGAGUAAGAGCAUACGGGGCCGGACCCGAAGAAGGUGAACUAUGCCUGUAUAGGGUGAAGCCAGAGGAAACUCUGGUGGAGGCUCGCAGCGGUUCUGACGUGCAAAUCGAUCGUCAAAUAUGGGCAUGGGGGCGAAAGACUAAUCGAACCUUCUAGUAGCUGGUUUCCGCCGAAGUUUCCCUCAGGAUAGCAGUGUUGAUCUCAGUUUUAUGAGGUAAAGCGAAUGAUUAGGGACCCGGGGGCGCUAUUUAGCCUUCAUCCAUUCUCAAACUUUAAAUAUGUAAGAAGCCCUUGUUGCUUAAUUGAACGUGGGCAUUCGAAUGUAUCAACACUAGUGGGCCAUUUUUGGUAAGCAGAACUGGCGAUGCGGGAUGAACCGAACGCGAGGUUAAGGUGCCAGAGUAGACGCUCAUCAGACACCACAAAAGGCGUUAGUACAUCUUGACAGCAGGACGGUGGCCAUGGAAGUCGGAAUCCGCUAAGGACUGUGUAACAACUCACCUGCCGAAUGUACUAGCCCUGAAAAUGGAUGGCGCUCAAGCGUCUCACCCAUACCUCGCCCUCAGGGUAGGAACUAUGCCCUGAGGAGUAGGCGGACGUGGAGGUCGUGACGAAGCCUAGGGCGGAGCCGUUCAUUCCUU